rnacentral:rRNA from 1 species
UACGGAGGAUCCGAGCGUUAUCCGGAUUUAUUGGGUUUAAAGGGUGCGCAGGCGGGAGAUUAAGUCGGCGGUGAAAUUUUGCAGCUCAACUGUAAAAGUGCCUUCGAAACUGGUUUCCUUGAGUGUGGAUGAAGUAGGCGGAAUUUGUGGUGUAGCGGUGAAAUGCAUAGAUAUCACGAGGAACUCCGAUUGCGCAGGCAGCUUACUAAACCACUACUGACGCUCAUGCACGAAGGCGUGGGGAUCAAACAGGAUUAGAUACCCCGGUA